rnacentral:rRNA from 1 species
UACGUAGGGUGCGAGCGUUGCCCGGAUUUAUUGGGCGUAAAGGGCGCGUAGGCGGCCACGCACGUCCGUUGUGAAAUCGCCCGGCUCAACUGGGCGGGGUCAGCGGAUACGGUGUGGCUCGAGCAAGCUAGGGGGCAAUGGAAUUCCCGGUGUAGCGGUGAAAUGCGCAGAUAUCGGGAAGAACACCCGUGGCGAAGGCGGCUCUCUGGGACGGUACUGACGCUGAGACGCGAAAGCGUGGGGAGCGAACAGG